rnacentral:rRNA from 1 species
CUGAUGCAGCGACGCCGCGUGAGGGAUGACGGCCUUCGGGUUGUAAACCUCUUUCAGUAGGGAAGAAGCGAAAGUGACGGUACCUGCAGAAGAAGCGCCGGCUAACUACGUGCCAGCAGCCGCGGUAAUACGUAGGGCGCAAGCGUUAUCCGGAAUUAUUGGGCGUAAAGAGCUCGUAGGCGGUUUGUCGCGUCUGCCGUGAAAGUCCGGGGCUCAACUCCGGAUCUGCGGUGGGUACGGGCAGACUAGAGUGAUGUAGGGGAGACUGGAAUUCCUGGUGUAGCGGUGAAAUGCGCAGAUAUCAGGAGGAACACCGAUGGCGAAGGCAGGUCUCUGGGCAUUAACUGACGCUGAGGAGCGAAAGCAUGGGGAGCGAACAGGAUUAGAUACCCUGGUAGUCCAUGCCGUAAACGUUGGGCACUAGGUGUGGGGGACAUUCCACGUUUUCCGCGCCGUAGCUAACGCAUUAAGUGCCCCGCCUGGGGAGUACGGCCGCAAGGCUAAAACUCAAAGGAAUUGACGGGGGCCCGCACAAGCGGCGGAGCAUGCGGAUUAAUUCGAUGCAACGCGAAGAACCUUACCAAGGCUUGACAUGAACCGGAAAUACCUGGAAACAGGUGCCCCGCUUGCGGUCG